rnacentral:rRNA from 1 species
GAUGAACGCUGGCGGCGUGCCUAACACAUGCAAGUCGAACGUGAGGGUGCAGCGAUGUGCCUGAAAGUGGCGAACGGGUGAGUAACACGUAGGUGACCUACCCUGAAGUGGGGGAUAACCACUGGAAACGGUGGCUAAUACCGCAUGAGUCUCUUGGGAUGGGAAUCUUGGGAGAGAAAGCUUUAGUGCUUCAGGAGGGGCCUGCGCCCGAUUAGCUAGUUGGUGAGGUAAAGGCUCACCAAGGCGAUGAUCGGUAGCUGGUCUGAGAGGAUGAUCAGCCACACGGGAACUGAGACACGGUCCCGACUCCUACGGGGGGCAGCAGUGAGGAAUAUUGCACAAUGGGGGGAACCCUGAUGCAGCAACGCCGCGUGGAGGAUGAAGGUCUUUGGAUUGUAAACUCCUUUUCUGCGGGACGAGGAAGGACGGUACCGCAGGAAUAAGUCACGGCUAACUACGUG